GGAAGUUCUUGGGUGACACACCCUGGAAUUGGGCUCCCUCCUCUCUGGUUCCAGGGUGUGUCACUCAAGAACCAUC
rfam:Myotis davidii contig52087, whole genome shotgun sequence.